AUUGAACGCUGGCGGCAGGCUUAACACAUGCAAGUCGAGCGGGGGAAGGUAGCUUGCUACUGGACCUAGCGGCGGACGGGUGAGUAAUGCUUAGGAAUCUGCCUAUUAGUGGGGGACAACAUCUCGAAAGGGAUGCAAAUACCGCAUACGUCCUACGGGAGAAAGCAGGGGAUCUUCGGACCUUGCGCUAAUAGAUGAACCUAAGUCGGAUUAGCUAGUUGGUGGGGUAAAGGCCUACCAAGGCGACGAUCUGUAGCGGGUCUGAGAGGAUGAUCCGCCACACUGGGACUGCGGCACGGCCCGGACUCCUACGGGAGGCAGCAGUGGGGAAUAUUGGACAAUGGGGGGAACCCUGAUCCAGCCAUGCCGCGUGUGUGAAGAAGGCCUUAUGGUUGUAAAGCUCUUUAAGCGAGGAGGAGGCUACUCUAGUUAAUACCUAGGGAUAGUGGACGUUACUCGCAGAAUAAGCACCGGCUAACUCUGUGCCAGCAGCCGCAGUAA
rnacentral:rRNA from 1 species